rnacentral:lncRNA from 1 species
CUCCCAAAAAUGUGCUCGCAAAAUUUCAGAAAAUAAAAACCCAUGCUCGCAAAAUCCCAAUGAAAAUUCCCAUGCUCGCAAAAUCCCAGAAAAUACACUAGUUCAAAAGUUAAGCUAAAUUCAGCCAAACCCCCAAAUUCCAUAGAAGAAAACCCCAAAUUUUAAUACUAUUUGUUGAUAAUAACAAUUGUGAAAUCAGGAAAUUGUACCUUUCUCUAAUUGAUCUUUCUCUAAUUGAUUAUUGACUGAAGAAGAAAGCUCCAAACUGUAAUGUAAUCACUUGUAACAAAAAGUUGAAAACCUAAGAAGAUAAAUGUCAAAAUUAGAGAUUGAGCAGAAAUUAUUCUUAGAUCUAAUACUUAUAUCCAUAAUUGAUUGAAUAGAAACAUGAAGAAUUAAUAAAAAAAUCAAUUACCUUUUUGACGAUGAAAGUAGUCAGUGAUGUUGUUUUGUGAAGAGGAAAGAGAGAGAAGAAUAAGAGGAAGAAGAUUAUGAUGAAGAGAAGAGAGAUAUGGAGAGCGAUGAAGAGGAGAAGGAAGGAGAAGAAGAGAUCGAUGAACCUUCAACCCUUCUCCAUGAUUUCUUCUUUUUUCUUCUUUUUUUUCGUGAGUUCUUUUCUUCUUCUUUGUUCGUGUUUUUGGUUUCGCGAU